AACGCUGGCGGCGUGCCUAAUACAUGCAAGUCGAACGCGAGCACUUGUGCUCGAGUGGCGAACGGGUGAGUAAUACAUAAGUAACCUGCCCUAGACAGGGGGAUAACUAUUGGAAACGAUAGCUAAGACCGCAUAGGUACGGACACUGCAUGGUGACCGUAUUAAAAGUGCCUCAAAGCACUGGUAGAGGAUGGACUUAUGGCGCAUUAGCUGGUUGGCGGGGUAACGGCCCACCAAGGCGACGAUGCGUAGCCGACCUGAGAGGGUGACCGGCCACACUGGGACUGAGACACGGCCCAGACUCCUACGGGAGGCAGCAGUAGGGAAUUUUCGGCAAUGGGGGAAACCCUGACCGAGCAACGCCGCGUGAAGGAAGAAGGUUUUCGGAUUGUAAACUUCUGUUAUAAAGGAAGAACGGCGGCUACAGGAAAUGGUAGCCGAGUGACGGUACUUUAUUAGAAAGCCACGGCUAACUACGUGCCAGCAGCCGCGGUAAUACGUAGGUGGCAAGCGUUAUCCGGAAUUAUUGGGCGUAAAGAGGGAGCAGGCGGCAGCAAGGGUCUGUGGUGAAAGCCUGAAGCUUAACUUCAGUAAGCCAUAGAAACCAGGCAGCUAGAGUGCAGGAGAGGAUCGUGGAAUUCCAUGUGUAGCGGUGAAAUGCGUAGAUAUAUGGAGGAACACCAGUGGCGAAGGCGACGAUCUGGCCUGCAACUGACGCUCAGUCCCGAAAGCGUG
rnacentral:rRNA from 1 species